rnacentral:rRNA from 1 species
CUCCAGACUCCUACGGGAGGCAGCAGUGGGGAAUAUUGCACAAUGGGGGAAACCCUGAUGCAGCGACGCCGCGUGAGUGAAGAAGUAUUUCGGUAUGUAAAGCUCUAUCAGCAGGGAAGAAAAUGACGGUACCUGACUAAGAAGCCCCGGCUAACUACGUGCCAGCAGCCGCGGUAAUACGUAGGGGGCAAGCGUUAUCCGGAUUUACUGGGUGUAAAGGGAGCGUAGACGGUCCUGCAAGCCAGAUGUGAAAGCCCGGGGCUCAACCCCGGGACUGCAUUUGGAACUGUGUGGCUGGAGUGUCGGAGAGGCAGGCGGAAUUCCUAGUGUAGCGGUGAAAUGCGUAGAUAUUAGGAGGAACACCAGUGGCGAAGGCGGCCUGCUGGACGAUGACUGACGUUGAGGCUCGAAAGCGUGGGGAGCAAACAGGAUUAGAUACCCUCGUAA